rnacentral:rRNA from 1 species
ACGAGAAUCUGUGGAAAGAGGAUUCGUCCAAUUGAAGCAGAGGACAGUGGCGGACGGGUGAGUAACGCGUGAGGAACCUGCCUUUCAGAGGGGGACAACAGUUGGAAGCGACUGCUAAUACCGCAUAACAUAUAGAUGUCGCAUGGCAUUUAUAUCAAAGAUUUAUCGCUGAAAGAUGGCCUCGCGUCUGAUUAGCUAGUUGGUGAGGUAACGGCCCACCAAGGCGACGAUCAGUAGCCGGACUGAGAGGUUGAACGGCCACAUUGGGACUGAGAUACGGCCCAGACUCCUACGGGAGGCAGCAGUGGGGAAUAUUGGGCAAUGGGCGCAAGCCUGACCCAGCAACGCCGCGUGAAGGAAGAAGGCUUUCGGGUUGUAAACUUCUUUUGUCAGGGACGAGUAGAAGACGGUACCUGACGAAUAAGCCACGGCUAACUACGUGCCAGCAGCCGCGGUAAUACGUAGGUGGCAAGCGUUGUCCGGAUUUACUGGGUGUAAAGGGCGUGUAGCCGGGAGGGCAAGUCAGAUGUGAAAUCCACGGGCUCAACUCGUGAACUGCAUUUGAAACUACUCUUCUUGAGUAUCGGAGAGGCAAUCGGAAUUCCUAGUGUAGCGGUGAAAUGCGUAGAUAUUAGGAGGGACACCAGUGG